UAUAGGCCUACUCUAUGUGUUCGACACUGAUAGUCGUACAAAAUGUCUCUGACACACUACUCCAGUGUCAGAUUAAAAUAUAAUUUUUUUGGGGCUUCAACACUUUAACACACCGCUUUAAUAGGGCUUCAGUGGAAAAUUUGUUUUUUGAAAAUUUUAAAACACAAAUUUCAAAUUUAGAAAGUAGAAAGACAAAAACUUAUCGCAUAUGCUUCUCUUCUUUGCUGGUACGAGACCUUUUGAUUUUUUGUUGCCCAUUGUUGCACUGACUUCUCUCAACUGUUCUUGUUAAUGGUCUUCCAAGCUUGCGUUUAGAUUUUGGUAGAAAUUGGACAAGUUGGGUACCGUGAAUCCGCUGCACUUCAAUGUGAGUAAAAAGAGUUGAGGGUCUCCAACUGCUCCUUCAAAGCUCCACCAUGACCACAACACCAACAAGGUUAAGGCUACGACCUUGAGUUGCACCAUUUUCUUGUGAUUCUUAAUUAAGGGUUCAAAAGACCGGUUUGAUAUAGGCCUCAAAGAAAAAAGUCUAGUUGUCGAUGAUGUUCAUGCGUGGGUUGAUUAAGGUUGUCCAAGUCUAAGAUCUGACAUAUGGAGGAAGACUAGUGUUUCUGUUAGCUAUGUAUGUAUAAGAAAGAAGUUUAGUCAUUUUUUUAUAAUAUUCUAUUAGGUAAAAUUUAUAAAUGAAAUCAUUUAAAAUUUUAUACGUA